rnacentral:rRNA from 1 species
UGUGUCAGCAGCCGCGGUAAGACGUAGGAUGCGAGCGUUGUUCGGAUUUAUUGGGCGUAAAGCGUGCGUAGGUGGUUUGUUAAGUCUGGUGUCAAAGUCGGGGGCUCAACCCCCGUUCGCACUGGAUACUGGCAGACUUGAGUCCGGUAGGGGGAGUUGGAAUUCCGAGUGUAGCGGUGAAAUGCGUAGAUAUUCGGAGGAACACCAGCGGCGAAGGCGAACUCCUGGGCCGGCACUGACACUGAGGCACGAAAGCGUGGGGAGCAAACGGGAUUAGAUACCCCGGUAGUCCACGCGGUAAACGAUGGAUGUUAGGUGUAGGGGGUAUCGACCCCCCCUGUGCCGUAGCUAACGCGUUAAACAUCCCGCCUGGGGAGUACGGUCGCAAGACUGAAACUCAAAGGAAUUGACGGGGGCCCGCACA